GAUGAACGCUAGCUACAGGCUUAACACAUGCAAGUCGCAGGGUAACAUGAGGAAAGCUUGCUUUCCUUGAUGACGACUGGCGCACGGGGGAGUAACGCGUAUCCAACCUUCCCAUAACUACGGGAUAACCCGUUGAAAGAAGGCCCAAUACCGGAUGAUAUCGUUUUCUGGCAUCAAAUAACGAUUAAAGGGUUAACGGUUAUGGAUGGGGAUGCGUCUGAUUAGCUUGUUGGCGGGGUAACGGCCCACCAAGGCGACGAUCAGUAGGGGUUCUGAGAGGAAGGUCCCCCACAUUGGAACUGAGACACGGUCCAAACUCCUACGGGAGGCAGCAGUGAGGAAUAUUGGUCAAUGGGCGAGAGCCUGAACCAGCCAAGUAGCGUGCAGGACGACGGCCCUAUGGGUUGUAAACUGCUUUUAUGUGGGGAUAAAGUGCGUGACGUGUCAUGCAUUGCAGGUACCACAUGAAUAAGGACCGGCUAAUUCCGUG
rnacentral:rRNA from 1 species